UGUAGUCCAGGAACCGCUUUUGCAUAACCUCAGUAGAUAAAGCAUGCUGAGGUCAUGUCAGAUCAUUUCAAGCUCUUCUGUGUCGAGCUGAGGAGCUGCUCUGUGCCCGGCUUACAGAACUGGAAGGGGGAGCCACCUUCCGCCUGAUGGAGGCUGGAGAACGGAUGGAACCUGGAUCCCUGGAGCCUGGGACACUACCUCGCUGCGGUUGGUGGUGGCCACAGACCAGUAGGAGGGCGGCUGGCAGCGGGAGCUUCUUCUGCCGGGCUGGAGGACUAGGAGAAGGGAGAGGGAACGCCACAUGCUGGAGGCUGGAGCCUGUGCCACCGUGGCUCACCUCGAUGUGGUUGGUGGCAGCUCGCCUUGCUGUGGUUGGUGGUGACGUCGGAGACUGCAGCUCGGCCACAGUGGUAGAAAUGUGUUGGGGUAGCUUUUGCUGUGUUGGGCACUUGCUCCCAUCUGCUUGCUUCUCUAGAAUCCACUGCCCUAGAAUGAGUAAUUUUUCUUAGAAGCAGAGUUGGAACCACUGAGGAAGCACAGUAGGUCACUAAAGAAGCAGUUCCUUGAAAAACUGAAUUUCUAUUGUCUCUGUCAGAAAAAAAUCAUUCAUUAGCAGGAGAAGAACAGCAAGAGAUCAAUCACAUAAUCUUGAGAAGGUCUAGCAUGGCGGAUGCUGCGGCUACUGGUCCAGGAAGCACAUUUUGAGAACCACUCAGCUAGAAGAUUAUUGCAUUCAUCCAGGUUCCUGCUGAAGUCUGAGGGGAAAAGGGGAUUCUGGAAGGCGGAGAAAUGGAUGGAUCCUGUGGAGAGGCCAGACAGCUUCCGAGCAGCUGAGAAAGAAGGAAGUCAGCCAAGGUCUGAAAGAAGAGAGAUAGAUGCUGGAGAGCAUUUAAAUGAAAAGAAUUUAACCAGAAGUAUCGGCAGAAGUAAAAGAAAAGCCAUGUUGGGGGAACCUAAAGAUUAGCCACAAAGGUUAAGGGAAAGGAGGGAGGAGAGGAGACGUUACUGCAGCCUGUGAAGGCCAGAGCAAGAGGCGUGGCCGUGGAAAGUGCAGGAAGUAUGGCUAUGGAGAGUGCUGGGGUGUGGCUGUGGUGGGUGCAGGAAGCGUGGCUGUGGAGCGGGUGUGGUUAUGGACGGAGUGUGGCUGUGGAGGGGGUGUGACUGUGGAGGGUGCUGAGUGUGG
rnacentral:lncRNA from 1 species